GCGGGAGUAUGUAUUUUCCAGAACAAUUAGAUUUAUGUACAUACGAUCCGAUAUGCAAAACCUUAGAUAUUAGAUUCAAUGAAUGGGAUUACUCGAUAUUCGAUUAGGAUACAAAAUAGGAAAAUUGCAUUAACGUAAGUGUAUUUAAUGUGUGUUUUAGAAACUUGUAAAUUUGCAAGAUCUGUGGAAUAUACCAAUCAAUUUGAUAAUGGUAUUUUGCAUUUAUUUUUCGUAUUUUAAUGUUUCUGUUGAUUCAAAUUGCUAAAACGAGGUACUAUAUUAUCUUUUCAAUGUAAUUCACACUGAAUAGAUAA
rnacentral:lncRNA from 1 species